rnacentral:rRNA from 1 species
CCCGCUCAGAAACUUAAAUGAAUGACGGGGCCCGCACAAGCGGUGGAGCAUGUGAUUUAAUUCGAUGCAACGCGAAGAACCUUACCUGGUCUUGACAUCCCGGAGACCCUUAGGAAACUAGGGGGUGCUUCCAUCUGGAAGAAUCUGGAGACAGGUGCUGCAUGGCUGUCGUCAGCUCGUGUCGUGAGAUGUUGGGUUAAGUCCCGCAACGAGCGCAACCCUUGCCUUUAGUUGCCAGCAGUUCGGCUGGGCACUCUAAAGGGACUGCCGGUGUUAAACCGGAGGAAGGUGGGGAUGACGUCAAGUCCUCAUGGCCUUUAUGACCAGGGCUACACACGUACUACAAUGGCCGAUACAAAGGGCAGCGACACUGCGAGGUGAAGCCAAUCCCGUAAAAUCGGUCUCAGUCCGGAUUGGAGUCUGCAACUCGACUCCAUGAAGUUGGAAUCGCUAGUAAUCGUGGAUCAGCAUGCCACGGUGAAUACGUUCCCGGGCCUU